GACGAACGCUGGCGGCGUGCUUAACACAUGCAAGUCGAACGGAAAGGCCCUGCUUUUGUGGGGUGCUCGAGUGGCGAACGGGUGAGUAACACGUGAGUAACCUGCCCUUGACUUUGGGAUAACUUCAGGAAACUGGGGCUAAUACCGGAUAGGAGCUCCUGCUGCAUGGUGGGGGUUGGAAAGUUUCGGCGGUUGGGGAUGGACUCGCGGCUUAUCAGCUUGUUGGUGGGGUAGCGGCUUACCAAGGCUUUGACGGGUAGCCGGCCUGAGAGGGUGACCGGCGACAAUGGGACUGAGAUACGGCCCAGACUCCUACGGGAGGCAGCAGUGGGGAAUAUUGCAGAAUGGGCGGAAGCCUGAGGCAGCAACGCCGCGUGCGGGAUGACGGCCUUCGGGUUGUAAACCGCUUUCGCCUGUGACGAAGCGUGAGUGACGGUAAUGGGUAAAGAAGCACCGGCUAACUACGUG
rnacentral:rRNA from 1 species